UCCGAGUUGUCCCCGGCGGUCCCCUUAGAGUCCCCGGCAUUACCCGCUGGCAACUAAGGGCAGGGGUUGCGCUCGUUGCGGCACUUAAGCCAACACCUCAAGGCACGAGCUGACGACAGCCAUGCACCACCUGUAUACCGACCACAAGGGGGGCCACAUCUCUGCAGCUUUCCGGUAUAUGUCAAACCCAGGUAAGGUUCUUCGCGUUGCAUCGAAUUAAUCCACAUGCUCCGCCACUUGUGCGGACCCCCGUCAAUUCCUUUGAGUUUUAGCCUUGCGGCCGUAAUCCCCAGGCGGAGUGCUUAAUGCGUUAGCUUCGGCACGGAGGGAGUCGACACCCCCCACACCUAGCACUCAUCGUUUACGGCGUGGACUAC
rnacentral:misc_RNA from 1 species